CCUGACGCCUCUGUGGGUGCGGCACCCCGGAGGCCCAGGGAGGACAGAGGGUAGGUGGAGGUGAUGGCACAUUUCACAGCAAUCACAGCUGCAGGAGGGAGCAGCUGGCAUCUGUGUCUGGUGCUGGGUCGGUGGAGCUGCCCACCAAGCUAGGCAGAGCUGUCGCUGGAGGAGCAAUCCUGCUGACAGCGCCUUCCUCUUUGUGAUGCAUCACUCUCCGAAGGCUGGCGCCUGGCCCCUGUUAUCAAUGCUGGUUGGCAAGAGGUGAAUACAAGUUAGCCUUCCAAAGAACACACGGCCAAGAUGAACCCCUCUGCUGGCAUUUCCCACAUCUCCUGUGUCUAACCUGGGCCGGCCUCAAGUUCCACCACCAGCCUGGUGGCCUGCACAGGUCCUUCUCUCUUGGUCAGCCCAACCACCUGGGGCGGUAAGUACCUUCCUCACCUUUUGGAUCUGCCCUUUGUGAUAUAGGGGAAUUAGAU
rnacentral:lncRNA from 1 species